rnacentral:rRNA from 1 species
ACUCCUACGGGAGGCAGCAGUGGGGAAUAUUGGACAAUGGGCGCAAGCCUGAUCCAGCCAUGCCGCGUGAGUGAUGAAGGCCCUAGGGUUGUAAAGCUCUUUCACCGGUGAAGAUAAUGACGGUAACCGGAGAAGAAGCCCCGGCUAACUUCGUGCCAGCAGCCGCGGUAAUACGAAGGGGGCUAGCGUUGUUCGGAUUUACUGGGCGUAAAGCGCACGUAGGCGGACUAUUAAGUCAGGGGUGAAAUCCCGGGGCUCAACCCCGGAACUGCCUUUGAUACUGGUAGUCUUGAGUUCGAGAGAGGUGAGUGGAAUUCCGAGUGUAGAGGUGAAAUUCGUAGAUAGUCGGAGGAACACCAGUGGCGAAGGCGGCUCACUGGCUAGAUACUGACGCUGAGGUGCGAAAGCGUGGGGAGCAAACAGGAUUAGAAACCCUAGUAGUCCA